rnacentral:snoRNA from 1 species
AUUCCAUGAUGAGGGCACUUUUUUAACAUUUCUUUAAAUCUUUCCCACGCCUCAUACAAGGACUCGUCCUCUAUCUGGUGGAAGGUAGUGAUCUCAUUCCGCAACCU